AUGCAUCCCUGCCAUGUAUUUUGUUGUCAUGUUUGGGUGCUGUUGCAUGUUCAUCUUAUUGCAUUUAGAUGGCUACUUGCUAUAAAUCGCAGACCGGUGUCAUUUUUGAAUCGCUUGCCUUUUCCAAACCCUAACUCCGAUUCCGGUGUUCUUUAUAUCGUUUUCAAGCGAUUUCAUCUCAUCUUUCCAGUGGCAUGCUUGGAUUUCCAAGUUGAGGCUAGGUUCAUGCAUUUCCUGUCAUAUCUUGCAUUUUGCAUCCCGCAUCGCAUCCCGCAUAGCAUAUCAUCAUUGCAUCAUAGUGUUUGUUCCUUGCACGUGGUUGAUUGUGUCCUUGUUGUUUGUUUGUCUUGUUUGGGUAGAGCCGGGAGACAAGUUCGCUAA
rnacentral:rRNA from 1 species